rnacentral:rRNA from 1 species
AUUGAACGCUGGCGGCAUGCCUUACACAUGCAAGUCGAACGGUAACGGGCCUUCGGGCGCCGACGAGUGGCGAACGGGUGAGUAAUGCAUCGGAACGUACCUUUCAGUGGGGGAUAACGUAGCGAAAGUUACGCUAAUACCGCAUAUUCUGUGAGCAGGAAAGCAGGGGAUCGCAAGACCUUGCGCUGAUUGAGCGGCCGAUGUCAGAUUAGCUAGUUGGUGAGGUAAAGGCUCACCAAGGCGACGAUCUGUAGCGGGUCUGAGAGGAUGAUCCGCCACACUGGAACUGAGACACGGUCCAGACUCCUACGGGAGGCAGCAGUGGGGAAUUUUGGACAAUGGGGGCAACCCUGAUCCAGCCAUGCCGCGUGAGUGAAGAAGGCC